rnacentral:rRNA from 1 species
AUACGGAGGGUCCAAGCGUUAUCCGGAAUCAUUGGGUUUAAAGGGUGCGCAGGCGGUUUAUUAAGUCAGUGGUGAAAUCUCGGGGCUCAACCUCGAAACUGCCAUUGAUACUGAUAAACUUGAGUUCAGUUGGAGUAGGCGGAAUGUGUAGUGUAGCGGUGAAAUGCUUAGAUAUUACACAGAACACCGAUAGCGAAGGCAGCUUACUAAACUGAUACUGACGCUGAGGCACGAAAGCGUGGGGAGCGAACAGGAUUAGAAACCCCGGUAGUCC